rnacentral:rRNA from 1 species
UACGAAGGGGGCUAGCGUUGUUCGGAUUUACUGGGCGUAAAGCGCACGUAGGCGGAUCGUUAAGUCGAGGGUGAAGUCCUGGAGCUCAACUCCAGAACUGCCUUCGAUACUGGCGAUCUCGAGUCCGGAAGAGGUGAGUGGAACUCCUAGUGUAGAGGUGGAAUUCGUAGAUAUUAGGAAGAACACCAGUGGCGAAGGCGGCUCACUGGUCCGGUACUGACGCUGAGGUGCGAAAGCGUGGGGAGCAAACAGG